UGGGGAAUCUUGCACAAUGGGGGCAACCCUGAUGCAGCGACGCCGCGUGAGUGAUGAAGCCCUUCGGGGCGUAAAGCUCUUUCGGCAGGGACGAUUAUGACGGUACCUGCAGAAGCAGCUGCGGCUAACUACGUGCCAGCAGCCGCGGUAAUACGUAGGCAGCAAGCGUUGUUCGGAGUUACUGGGCGUAAAGGGUGCGUAGGCGGCUUUUUAAGUUUGGUGUGAAAUCUCCUGGCUUAACCGGGAGGGUGCGCCGAAUACUGAGAAGCUAGAGUAUGGGAGAGGAAAGUGGAAUUCCUGGUGUAGCGGUGAAAUGCGUAGAUAUCAGGAGGAACACCUGUGGUGUAGACGGCUUUCUGGACCAUAACUGACGCUGAGGCACGAAAGCGUGGGUAGCAAACAGGAUUAGAUACCCCCGUAGUCC
rnacentral:rRNA from 1 species